GUCGAGAAUUUUUCACAAUGGGGGAAACCCUGAUGGAGCGACGCCGCGUGGAGGAUGAAGGCCCUCGGGUUGUAAACUCCUGUCAUGCGGGAACAAGAAAGUGAUAGUACCGCAAGAGGAAGAGACGGCUAACUCUGUGCCAGCAGCCGCGGUAAUACAGAGGUCUCAAGCGUUGUUCGGAUUCAUUGGGCGUAAAGGGUGCGUAGGUGGCGAUGCAAGUCUGGUGUGAAAUCUCGGAGCUCAACUACGAAAUGGCACCGGAUACUGCGUUGCUAGAGGAUUGUAGAGGAGAGUGGAAUUCACGGUGUAGCAGUGAAAUGCGUAGAUAUCGUGAGGAAGACCAGUUGCGAAGGCGACUCUCUGGGCAAUUCCUGACACUGAGGCACGAAGGCCAGGGGAGCAAACGGGAUUAGAUACCCGUGUAGUCC
rnacentral:rRNA from 1 species